UGUGGGCAGUAUAAGGUACACCUGUGCACUACUCAUGAUGUCGGAUCAGCAUCUUGAUGUGGCAUACCUGUGAGGUGGGAUGGAUUAUGUCACACCCUGUCCUGUCUCCCCAUUCUGUUCAGUCAUGUGUCUCUGUUAAUUGCUCCCGCCUAUCUCUCUUUUUCCAAUCACCCAAGCUCCCAGCCCUCAUGUAUUUAAACCCUCUCAGUUCUGUGUCUUUUGACGGUUUAUUGUUUCAGUGUCCAGCGUGUUUUUAUAUUAAACUUUACUAAACGUUCGUGUUUAUCUGCCUGCCUUCCUCACCCGCAUGUGGAUCCUCAUCUCCGCUUCACUCACCAGCAUGCCGUGACAGAUUAUCUCAGCAAUGCAGAAGUGCUCACUAUCACACAUUUAGACUGAUUUGUGAACAAUGUUUGAGAAAAAUGGUAAUAUUGUGUAUCUGGAAUGUAUUUUAGAUCUUUAUGUCCAUCUCAUGGAAAAUCGGAGCAGAAACAAAGGUAUUGCGUUUAUAUUUUUGUUGAGUGUAUGUGUAAAUGCGGUGUUGGUCAGAACUUCAGAAUCUCGGAAAGCGGCGUCUCUGGAUGAAAAAGAAUUUGGUUUGUUCUAAACUAUGAUGUUAUCUUCAGAAGCACAUUCAGACGCAAUCUCUGUGUUCUACCUCACCCUUUUGAUGACCUUCGUCACGGAUUCGGAGGUCAGAGAGGCAGGAUGACCUCUGGGCACCCAGGUCCGGUAGAUUGACUGCGAGCACCGACUUCUCCGGUCCAAAAGAUAUCACCACGCAGCACAGUCAAUCAGAGGCUGACAGGAAAGAAGAUGUUACCAAGACAACUCAGAAACACGCCUUCUUUAAUAUGGAAGUCCUGACUGGUAAAGAAAACAAGUUAUGUGUUGUAGUCUAACUUAACCGUACUUGUUAUUGUGGAUGUGCAGGUGUGAGGACCUUGUCGUCAAAACAUCUGAGGAGACAGAAAAAUGGGAACGAUGAUGCAUUCUGGAUAAUUGGAGUGUCGAGAAAACCGGAUGACUUUUGAACGUUUUGAAGUCUCCUCGACGAGGGAGUGGAGAGCCGGACCAGAACACAUCAUCUCCUUUUCCAAGGGUGAUGAACGAGAUGUACUGAACCUCACUGAGGAAACAGCACCGGCAGGAUUCAGCAGUGUGGUAGGACUGACUUUGGGUUGCAAUGAUUAUAAAUUUAUAAAAAAAAUUUGCCCCCUCAGAGUUUUCAUGAAUGUUAACUAGAUCUAUUAAAGCUUAAAGGGCUUUCUGAUCAGUUUAUCUCUGCUGUCAAAUUGGCAUUUUUGACAUGUGAUUCGAUGAGGAUUAGCUCUCUUCUGGUGGAUGAGGGUGGAAAUGCAUUUUUUUUGCCUCUUCCUUGUUGGCUUCACUUUCAUACCAGAAUUAUGGGGGCUGUCGUGGUGGAAAUUAUUCCAUCUAACCACUCCCUGGUUCUUUGGAGGUGACCCUGAAGAGAGAUCCACACUUUAAGCUAGGGCUGGGCGAUAUGGCCUAAAACUAAUAUCACAAUAUAUUGAGGAUUUAACCUCAAUAAUGAUAAAUGGACCAUAACUGCAGGUAAGUUGUCCACUAGAUGGGGCUGUCACAUGUAUUAUAUUUAGUCACAUUUUUACGCAUCUCAAGGUGGUACAGCUUCUUAAAGGGACAUAAAUGUUGCCCAGCUACACACAUCUUUUCAUUUUUUUAUUAUCAAAUUUAUUGACAUGGGAAAAAUGAUCUCGAUAAGAGUCAGAAAUUUCGAUAACGAUACAUUUUCGAUUUAUUGCCCAGCCCUACUUUAAGCCCAUUAUAAUAUGUACACACACAAAGAUCUUUGGUUGGCUUCUGGUGAGAAGAACACAAGCAGUUCCCUGCCGAUGUAUCUUCUAACUUUCGACUCUUCUCGUCAGCCCUUUUAUUGAAUUGCAUGAAAAUUUUUUUUAAUUUUACAACAGUUCCACAAUAGACUGGGGCGUUCCCACUUCACAGUCAUACACUACUCCUCCUCAUGUGAGCGGUCUUCAUGAGUUCACAGUCUAAAGCACCUUCUGACUUUCCCUGACCCUCAACAUCCAAGACUUUUUCUAAGACUGAACUUGUGAUCUCUGGCUCAGCAACGAGGUCAAAAGUUUAUCAAUCAGACACUUCCCCAUGACAUAACUCGUGAUCUUCUUUUGACCACAAGCAGUAAGAGUCAGGCCAUUGUUAUAGAAACUUUCAACACCAAUGUUUUCUGGAACGUUAUCUCUGUUAGUCUGCAGCACUUCGACAAAGUUUUAUUUCCUUAUAUAUGAAGAUUAAAUGAUUGACCAACACAUUCAUAACCUGACAGCAAUUAGACUGAAGUUGACUAUAUUAGUUUAAACAGAAAAGGUUAUAUUGGUUAAGUGUAAAAAUGAUUACUCUCAAAAAGAUUAUAUUGAUUAGCUUUAAAAAUGAUUAUGCUGAUUAGGGCUGCAAUGAUUCCUCGAGUAACUCGAAUGAUUCGCUGACAAAAAAUAUUCGAGAAUUUUCCGCUGCCUCGAGGACUCGUUAAAUAGACCAUAGCUGAAUAUCCGGCAUUGCGCAUGGAUUCUUUAUGUGUUGCGCAACGCGGUUACGUCACAGAUUAUACGUGCCAUGUACUCUACUGCACAGCGCGCAGCGGUCUUUUCGUCUUUUCAGCUGGGUAGCCGACAAUGGCAGACGCCAUGGAAAUAAAUGAAAACGAGCAAGACCAAAACGAAGGAUAUAGUAAGCGACAGAAGUUUUCCAAGGCAUGGGAUCACUUUACAUUAAAAAGCAAGGAAAACGCCAUUGUAUGCAAGCAUUGCAAGGUGGAGCUACCACAACAGCACUUCUUCCAUGCUGCUGCACCUCUUAAGAAAGCAUCCGACUGAGGGCAUGAGUGAACGUGCCGAGAUCAGGUAAAUAAACUUUUUUUCAGGACGUAAAUAUUGACUCAGCUGUAGUGUCAAUAAAAUACAUUUAUUUG